rnacentral:rRNA from 1 species
UACGUAGGGUGCAAGCGUUAAUCGGAAUUACUGGGCGUAAAGCGUGCGCAGGCGGCUAUGUAAGACAGAUGUGAAAUGCCCGGGCUUAACCUGGGAAUGGCCAUGGAAACUGGCGAACUGGAGUGCGGCAGAGGGGGGUGGAAUUCCGCGUGUAGCAGUGAAAUGCGUAGAGAUGCGGAGGAACACCGAUGGCGAAGGCAGCCCCCUGGGCUAGCACUGACGCUCAGGCACGAAAGCGUGGGGAGCAAACAGG